CCUACGGGAGGCAGCAGUGAGGAAUAUUGGUCAAUGGGCGUAAGCCUGAACCAGCCAAGUCGCGUGAGGGAUGAAGGUUCUAUGGAUCGUAAACCUCUUUUAUAAGGGAAUAAAGUGUGGGACGUGUCCUAUUUUGUAUGUACCUUAUGAAUAAGGAUCGGCUAACUCCGUGCCAGCAGCCGCGGUAAGACGGAGGAUCCGAGCGUUAUCCGGAUUUAUUGGGUUUAAAGGGUGCGUAGGGGGCCUUUUAAGUCAGCGGUGAAAGUCUGUGGCUCAACCAUAGAAUUGCAGUUGAUACUGGGGGGCUUGAGUGUGUUUGAGGCAGGCGGAAUGCGUGGUGUAGCGGUGAAAUGCUUAGAUAUCACGCAGAACCCCGAUUGCGAAGGCAGCCUGCCAAGCCGUGACUGACGCUGAUGCACGAAAGCGUGGGGAUCAAACAGGAUUAGAUACCCCUGUAGUC
rnacentral:rRNA from 1 species